rnacentral:rRNA from 1 species
UACGUAGGGGGCAAGCGUUGUCCGGAAUCACUGGGCGUAAAGGGCGCGUAGGUGGCGACCCAAGUCGAUGGUGAAAGCUCGCCGCUCAACGGCGAGUCGGCCACCGAUACUGGGUUGCUUGAGCACUGUAGAGGCUAAUGGAAUUCCGGGUGUAGCGGUGGAAUGCGUAGAGAUCCGGAAGAACACCGGUGGCGAAGGCGGUUAGCUGGGCAGUUGCUGACACUGAGGCGCGACAGCGUGGGGAGCAAACAGG